AAUUUAUUAAAUAUAAAAAUUAUUAUAAUAACUAAGUUGUUACUUAAGUUGUUAUUGCUUAAUUAUUAUUAUUUCUUUAUUUUUUCAGUUAGUUGAAAAUGCUGAGCAAUCAAUUAAUAACAUCAGGAUCUUAUAUAAUGACCUGAAGCUGACACUUCAACCUUUGGUUUAUGCUGUUCCACCAAACAUUGCUGUUGUUGUGUACAAUAAUCACAGAUGGUCAUUUAAAACCCCUUUGAAAGCAAUGGAUUUUUCGUUUAAACUGAUUCAAAUCUUGGAUAAGGAAUACAAUAUUGCAAGUUUUCCAGCUUGAAUGUUUUUUGCAAAUAUAUAUAUAUUGUUUUAAUUGCCCCGAUUUUGACGUAUCAUGCCCGAAAGCAAGUGAAUUCGCUUCUGAGUUGAAUUUAUAAGUUUAGUUGACUGUCUUGAAUUGUUAUAAGUAUAGACUGUGUAGUUGCAUAAUGCGUAAAAAAAAAAAAUGUUUGUAGAUGCGGUAAUAAUACAAGCUAAAACAAAUGUAAA